GAUGAACGCUGGCGGCGUGCCUAAUACAUGCAAGUCGAGCGAACAGACGAGGAGCUUGCUCCUCUGACGUUAGCGGCGGACGGGUGAGUAACACGUGGAUAACCUACCUAUAAGACUGGGAUAACUUCGGGAAACCGGAGCUAAUACCGGAUAAUAUAUUGAACCGCAUGGUUCAAUAGUGAAAGACGGUUUUGCUGUCACUUAUAGAUGGAUCCGCGCCGCAUUAGCUAGUUGGUAAGGUAACGGCUUACCAAGGCAACGAUGCGUAGCCGACCUGAGAGGGUGAUCGGCCACACGGGAACUGAGACACGGUCCAGACUCCUACGGGAGGCAGAAGUAGGGAAUCUUCCGAAAUGGGCGAAAGCCUGACGGAGCAACGCCGCGGGAGUGAUGAAGGUCUUCGGAUCGUAAAACUCUGUUAUUAGGGAAGAACAAAUGUGUAAGUAACUAUGCACGUCUUGACGGUACCUAAUCAGAAAGCCACGGCUAACUACGUG
rnacentral:rRNA from 1 species